ACUUCUUUUAGUGUUCGCAUAGAUUGCACUCAUAGUUUGUUGCUUUUGUAAUUUUUUGGUUUUUAUCCGAAAAAUAAUGAGAAACUAACUGGAAUUAUCAUGAAUGAAAUGACUAUCAAAUAUUUCAAAGGUAUCAUAGUGUAAAAAUAACUUCAGAAGAUCAAGUCAAUUUAGGAUCCUCUCAUAACUACAAAGGUAACUCUGACAAACAAAACUCUUACCUUGGUGGUCUCAUCACUGUUCUUCCUGUUAUGCGUAGGCGUCCUCGGGAAAAUGAAGCUGAAUCAAGGCUUAAUAAUGUCUCAUUUAGUUAUCGUGUGCGACUGAUUGAAGAUGGAAUAACUCGUGAUGUUCCAGUAUGUAUUAAGGGUUUUUUUAUCUUUACACGGAAUCAGAGGGCGUCGAGCUAGAUACGUAAGGGAGUCGUUGCUUUUAACUGGGAAAGCACCUGUCGAUAUGCGUGGAAAACAAAACACAUGACCUCACAGACUUUCAGAGGACACAAAACAGAAUGUGAUUGAGUUCAUUAGGAGUCUUAAAGGGUGAAAAUCUCAUUAUUCCUUGGCAGACUCCAAAAAAAUUUACGUGCCCGAAGAUCUAAAUAUAGUCAAAUUACACAAAAUGUAUUCCGAUCGCAACACUGAUGAUAAAGUUUUCUACUAAACUUUUCGAGGAAUUUUUGAAAGCAACUUUAAUAUAUCGUUUGGCUAUCCACGCAAAGACACGUGCAGUACGUGUGAUACCUUGAAAGCCGACAUAUCUUCACUUACUCUAAAAUUGAAUUCCAUCCCGGAUGAUAAAACGAAGAAGACUGCAAGCAAUGAUUUGGCGAAAAAAAAAAAAUCGUGAAAAGGAGCUUCAUCUAAGAAAAAGUCAUCAACUUUAUAAUCUGAAGCGAAAUUACCGCAAACGUGCCGCAAAGUCUCUGACUAUGGAAAGUAUCACCAUGGAUUUCCAAAAAAAUUUGCCAUGCCCAAACAUCACUACCAAUGAUGUUUACUAUAAACGUCAACUAAAUUUCAUUAGUUUCAGUAUUCACAUUUUGUCAAAUUCAAGAUCUGUAUUUUACACCUACGAUGAAUCUGUUGCUAAGAAAGGAGCUAACGAAGUCUGUUCCAUGCUGUAUCACUUCUUUUAUAAGAUCCUGUCCAUGGAAGUAAAAGAACUAGCAAUUUUUUGUAAUUCGUGCUCAGGAAAAAAUAAAAACUUUACGGUUAUUCGAUUCCUGUAUUACAUGGUUACCAAAAAACCGUUUUGAUACUGUGAAAGUAAUAUUUCCGAUCAGAGGGUAUUCAUAUCUUGAGUGCGAUCGAGACAUGAGUCUUGUAAACCAAAAAGCUUACAAUGAGGUACCGGAUGACUGCAGAGAAGAAUUAAGAAAUUGCCGUGUGAAACCUACACCAUUUGAGGUCAUGGAUCGUGGCAAAAAUUUUGAUUAUCAAAAUGGGAGUACAUUUUUUUCGCCGCUUUAUCCAACAAAGUGCCCCUUCCAGACUCGGUCUAUCAGGAUGCUGAGGUUUCUCAUGAGAAUUCCCGCUUAGUUUUCCACAAAUGCGCUUAUACGGGCUCAUAUAGUAGUUCUAAGUUCGACCAGAAACCGCUUAAGAAGAGCCUAAGAAAGAAACAAGAAGGAAACCAGGAAACGGGAGAGAAAACGCUGAGAAAACUUUAUCAGGGUCCCAUCCCUGUUAAAAUGCCCAAAUGGAAGGAUUUGCAACAUUUGACAUCAUUCCUUGAGAGAGCAGAAGGCAGGUUGUUUUAUCAACAAUUACUAUUUGCUGAACAACCUCAAGAACAGAUCGAUGACGAAUUUGUGGAUGACCCACCAACAGAUUAGUUUGAUGCUGGGGAAAAGUGGCAUGAGUCCACCAACUUUUUUUCUUUUCUGUUACGUCACUAGUUUUGAACUAAUGUUUAUUUUUUUCCAUUUUUUUGUAAUAAUAAACACAUUAUUUACCAAACA